GAUGAACGCUGACAGAAUGCUUAACACAUGCAAGUCGAUGGGGAAGUGGUGCUUGCACCAUGGUAACCAUGGCGGACGGGUGAGUAACGCGUAAGGAACUUGCCUGCGGGACCGGGAUAACAGCAGGAAACUGCUGACAAGACCGGAUAAGGUCAUUAAGCUGCAUAGCUUUGUGAUGAAAGGAGACGCCUGCGGAGAGCCUUGCGUCCUAUUAGCUAGUUGGAGGGGUAACGGCCCACCAAGGCGAAGAUAGGUAGCCGGCCUGAGAGGGUGGACGGCCACAAGGGGACUGAGAUACGGCCCUUACUCCUACGGGAGGCAGCAGUGGGGAAUAUUGGACAAUGGGGGCAACCCUGAUCCAGCAAUUCUGUGUGCACGAAGACGGUUUUCGGAUUGUAAAGUGCUUUCAGCAGGGAAGAAGUAAGUGACGGUACCUGCAGAAGAAGCGACGGCUAAAUACGUGCCAGCAGCCGCGGUAAUACGUAUGUCGCGAGCGUUAUCCGGAUUUAUUGGGCGUAAAGCGAGCGCAGGCGGUUAGAUAAGUCUGAAGUUAAAGGCUGUGGCUUAACCAUAGUACGCUUUGGAAACUGUUUAACUUGAGUGCAGAAGGGGAGAGUGGAAUUCCAUGUGUAGCGGUGAAAUGCGUAGAUAUAUGGAGGAACACCGGUGGCGAAAGCGGCUCUCUGGUCUGUAACUGACGCUGAGGCUCGAAAGCGUGGGGAGCAAACAGG
rnacentral:rRNA from 1 species